rnacentral:rRNA from 1 species
UACGGAGGGAGCUAGCGUUGUUCGGAAUUACUGGGCGUAAAGCGCACGUAGGCGGCUUUGUAAGUUAGAGGUGAAAGCCCGGAGCUCAACUCCGGAAUUGCCUUUAAGACUGCAUCGCUUGAAUCCGGGAGAGGUGAGUGGAAUUCCGAGUGUAGAGGUGAAAUUCGUAGAUAUUCGCAAGAACACCAGUGGCGAAGGCGGCUCACUGGCCCGAUACUGACGCUGAGGUGCGAAAGCGUGGGGAGCAAACAGG